AUUGAACGCUGGCGGCAUGCCUUACACAUGCAAGUCGAACGGCAGCGCGGGGGCAACCCUGGCGGCGAGUGGCGAACGGGUGAGUAAUAUAUCGGAACGUACCCAAGAGUGGGGGAUAACGUAGCGAAAGUUACGCUAAUACCGCAUACGAUCUAAGGAUGAAAGCAGGGGACCGCAAGGCCUUGUGCUCCUGGAGCGGCCGAUAUCUGAUUAGCUAGUUGGUGGGGUAAAGGCCUACCAAGGCAUCGAUCAGUAGCUGGUCUGAGAGGACGACCAGCCACACUGGGACUGAGACACGGCCCAGACUCCUACGGGAGGCAGCAGUGGGGAAUUUUGGACAAUGGGGGGCAACCCUGAUCCAGCAAUGCCGCGUGAGUGAAGAAGGCCUUACGGUUGGU
rnacentral:rRNA from 1 species